CUUCAGUGAUGAUCGAUGACGAGUCAGAACUGCUCUCUGACUCUGCUGGUCUCUGGUUCAAGGUUCACGUUCUGUGAAUUUUGCUCCAGUUCCUUCAGAGAAGUGAGUGUUUCAUGUGAAGACAUCGAGGCAUUUGUCUGAGAAGG
ensembl:snoRNA SNORD15 Small nucleolar RNA SNORD15